GAUGAACGCUGGCGGCGUGCCUAAUACAUGCAAGUCGAGCGAACAGACGAGGAGCUUGCUCCUCUGACGUUAGCGGCGGACGGGUGAGUAACACGUGGAUAACCUACCUAUAAGACUGGGAUAACUUCGGGAAACCGGAGCUAAUACCGGAUAAUAUAUUGAACCGCAUGGUUCAAUAGUGAAAGACGGUUUUGCUGUCACUUAUAGAUGGAUCCGCGCCGCAUUAGCUAGUUGGUAAGGUAACGGCUUACCAAGGCAACGAUGCGUAGCCGACCUGAGAGGGGGAUCGGCCACACUGGAACUGAGACACGGUCCAGACUCCUACGGGAGGCAGCAGUAGGGAAUCUUCCGCAAUGGGCGAAAGCCUGACGGAGCAACGCCGCGUGAGUGAUGAAGGUCUUCGGAUCGUAAAACUCUGUUAUUAGGGAAGAACAAAUGUGUAAGUAACUAUGCACGUCUUGACGGUACCUAAUCAGAAAGCCACGGAUAACUACGUG
rnacentral:rRNA from 1 species